rnacentral:rRNA from 1 species
UACGUAGGGGGCAAGCGUUGUCCGGAUUUAUUGGGCGUAAAGAGCGUGUAGGCGGCCAGAUAGGUCUGCUGUGAAAACUCGAGGCUUAACCUCGAGAUGUCGGCGGAAACCAUCUGGCUAGAGUCCGGAAGAGGAGAGCGGAAUUCCUGGUGUAGCGGUGAAAUGCGCAGAUAUCAGGAGGAACACCAGUGGCGAAGGCGGCACUCUGGGCCGGAACUGACGCUGAGGAGCGAAAGCGUGGGAGCGAACAGG